rnacentral:lncRNA from 1 species
AUAAUAGCAUAGUUGCCCGGGUUUCUUUUGUUUCAACAGGUACCAUUACUAACUAAUCGCCCGCUAGAGCGGGCGAUUAGAACUAAUCGCCCGUUACCAAGGGUCACACCUUUGUCUCCCUGACGACUACGCAUUAGGCAAGUGCCUCACGCACAUAAUCGUGCAAGGAAGAGCAACAGUUAGCUCAGAGCCGUCAAUAGUCUAUCAUCCGAUCCCUGAGUUGCCGCAUCAUUUAAAU